rnacentral:rRNA from 1 species
UACGUAGGGUCCGAGCGUUGUCCGGAAUUAUUGGGCGUAAAGGGCUCGUAGGCGGUUCGUCACGUCGGGAGUGAAAACUCGGGGCUUAACCCCGAGCCUGCUUCCGAUACGGGCAGACUAGAGGUAGGCAGGGGAGAGCGGAACUCCUGGUGUAGCGGUGGAAUGUGCAGAUAUCAGGAAGAACACCGGUGGCGAAGGCGGCUCUCUGGGCCUUACCUGACGCUGAGGAGCGAAAGCGUGGGUAGCGAACAGG